GACGAACGCUGGCGGCGUGCUUAACACAUGCAAGUCGAACGCUGAAGCCUGGCUUUUGUUGGGUGGAUGAGUGGCGAACGGGUGAGUAACACGUGAGUAACCUGCCCUCUUCUUUGGGAUAACGCCCGGAAACGGGUGCUAAUACUGGAUAUUCACUUGCCUUCGCAUGGGGGUGGGUGGAAAGGGUUUUUUCUGGUGGGGGAUGGGCUCGCGGCCUAUCAGCUUGUUGGUGGGGUGAUGGCUUACCAAGGCUUUGACGGGUAGCCGGCCUGAGAGGGUGACCGGUCACAUUGGGACUGAGAUACGGCCCAGACUCCUACGGGAGGCAGCAGUGGGGAAUAUUGCACAAUGGGCGCAAGCCUGAUGCAGCGACGCCGCGUGAGGGAUGGAGGCCUUCGGGUUGUGAACCUCUUUCGCUCAUGGUCAAGCCGCAACUCGUGGUUGUGGUGAGGGUAGUGGGUAAAGAAGCGCCGGCUAACUACGUGCCAGCAGCCGCGGUAAUACGUAGGGGCGCGAGCGUUGUCCGGAAUUAUUGGGCGUAAAGGGCUUGUAGACGGUUGGUCUCAUCUGCCCGAAAUCCUCUGGCUUAACUGGGGGCGUGCGGUGUGUUCGGGCUGACUUGAGUGCGGUAUGGGAGACUAAAAACUCCUGGGUUUCCGUUGUAUGUCAUAUAUCGCGAAGAACACCCCUGACGAAGGCGGUUUUGGGCUUUAUUGGCGUUUAGUAGCGAAGAGUGGGGAGCCAGCAGGUUA
rnacentral:rRNA from 1 species